rnacentral:rRNA from 1 species
CUUGCUUUUGAUGGGCGUCGACCGGCGCACGGGUGAGUAACGCGUAUCCAACCUGCCCACCACUUGGGGAUAACCUUGCGAAAGUAAGACUAAUACCCAAUGACGUCUCUAGAAGACAUCUGAAGGAGAUUAAAGAUUUAUCGGUGAUGGAUGGGGAUGCGUCUGAUUAGCUUGUUGGCGGGGUAACGGCCCACCAAGGCGACGAUCAGUAGGGGUUCUGAGAGGAAGGUCCCCCACAUUGGAACUGAGACACGGUCCAAACUCCUACGGGAGGCAGCAGUGAGGAAUAUUGGUCAAUGGGCGAGAGCCUGAACCAGCCAAGUAGCGUGCAGGAUGACGGCCCUAUGGGUUGUAAACUGCUUUUAUAAGGGAAUAAAGUGAGUCUCGUGAGACUUUUUGCAUGUACCUUAUGAAUAAGGACCGGCUAAUUCCGUGCCAGCAGCCGCGGUAAUACGGAAGGUCCGGGCGUUAUCCGGAUUUAUUGGGUUUAAAGGGAGCGUAGGCCGGAGAUUAAGCGUGUUGUGAAAUGUAGAUGCUCAACAUCUGCACUGCAGCGCGAACUGGUUUCCUUGAGUACGCACAAAGUGGGCGGAAUUCGUGGUGUAGCGGUGAAAUGCUUAGAUAUCACGAAGAACUCCGAUUGCGAAGGCAGCUCACUGGAGCGCAACUGACGCUGAAGCUCGAAAGUGCGGGUAUCGAACAGGAUUAGAUACCCUGGUAGUCCGCACGGUAAACGAUGGAUGCCCGCUGUUGGUCUGAAUAGGUCAGCGGCC